rnacentral:rRNA from 1 species
GGACGAACGCUGGCGGCGUGCUUAACACAUGCAAGUCGAGCGGUAAGGCCCUUCGGGGUACACGAGCGGCGAACGGGUGAGUAACACGUGGGUGACCUGCCCUCAGCUCUGGGAUAAGCCCGGGAAACUGGGUCUAAUACCGGAUACGACCUCUCAUCGCAUGGUGGUGGGUGGAAAGUUUUUCGGCUGGGGAUGGGCCCGCGGCCUAUC